CAGCGCUCCUUCCUCCACCCACUCAGCUGCGACGUGGCAGCUGAGCGUGGGCCCUGGGGUGACGC
rnacentral:pre_miRNA from 1 species